rnacentral:rRNA from 1 species
UAGGGAAUAUUGGACAAUGGGUGAGAGCCUGAUCCAGCCAUGCCGCGUGCAGGAAGAAGGCGUUAUGCGUUGUAAACUGCUUUUGCCAGGGGAUAAAAUGAGCAUGCGUGCUUAAUUGAAGGUACCUGGUGAAUAAGCCACGGCUAACUACGUGCCAGCAGCCGCGGUAAUACGUAGGUGGCAAGCGUUGUCCGGAUUUAUUGGGUUUAAAGGGUGCGUAGGUGGCCCUGUAAGUCAGUGGUGAAAUAUCUCAGCUUAACUGAGAGGGUGCCAUUGAUACUGCAGGGCUUGAGUACAGAUGAGGUAGGCGGAAUUGACGGUGUAGCGGUGAAAUGCAUAGAUAUCGUCAAGAACACCGAUAGCGAAGGCAGCUUACCAAGCUGUAACUGACACUGAGGCACGAAAGCGUGGGGAGCAAACAGGAUUAGAUACCCAGGUAGUCCCUGAGCGGGCUGGCAAGGCGCAU